AUGUUACCUGUAGCAUCUCUGCGGCUCCCACGACAGCUCCGCUCAGAAACAAAGACAUAAUCAUUUUAAAAAAACUCCCACAGUUUCCUAUUCUCAGCCCAGACAUCGGGGAACUAUUUUAGGGCACAAUUGUCCCACACUGACCCUACCUCUGCCCUGCGUCACCACCAAAAGAGUCCGACCUCCACGUGCUCACGGACGGGUUGACCCAGACUGGGACAAAAUUCAACUCAACAACACUUUCAAAGAGCCUGAGGUGGUUUGAUGUCGAGAGGGGUCCAGCUGCAGACCUCCACUCUCAUUCAGCUUAACGGCUCCUCCAACGUGAAGCAGAAGCCACCUCCAUCGUAGGACUGAAGUGACGCAAAUCUAAUCCUCUCAGCCGUCUGACAGGCUCCUCCACCUCCAGCUCCUCCUCCUCUAUCGUCAGACAUACGUCUUCAGGCUGAUGUAAUGCUGGCUGCCCAGAAUCUCUGCUGCUGUCGAUGAACACAGGAGUGACCCCACCAGUUCAAACUUUGCAUCUUUGGCCUCCUUGGUCUGACCCGUG